GCGCGCUCUGCGCGCACCGGCGGACGGCUCAGUAACACGUCGGUAACCUACCCUCGGGAGGGGGAUAACCCCGGGAAACUGGGGCUAAUCCCCCAUAGGCCUGAGGUACUGGAAGGUCCUCAGGCCGAAAGGGUCUCUGACCGCCCGAGGAUGGGCCGGCGGCCGAUUAGGUAGUUGGUGGGGUAACGGCCCACCAAGCCGAAGAUCGGUACGGGCCAUGAGAGUGGGAGCCCGGAGAUGGACACUGAGACACGGGUCCAGGCCCUACGGGGCGCAGCAGGCGCGAAACCUCCGCAAUGCGGGCAACCGCGACGGGGGGACCCCCAGUGCCGUGGCAUAGCCACGGCUUUUCCGGAGUGUAAAAAGCUCCGGGAAUAAGGGCUGGGCAAGGCCGGUGGCAGCCGCCGCGGUAAUACCGGCGGCCCGAGUGGUGGCCGCUAUUAUUGGGCCUAAAGCGUCCGUAGCCGGGCCCGUAAGUCCCUGGCGAAAUCCCACGGCUCAACCGUGGGGCUUGCUGGGGAUACUGCGGGCCUUGGGACCGGGAGAGGCCGGGGGUACCCCUGGGGUAGGGGUGAAAUCCUAUAAUCCCAGGGGGACCGCCAGUGGCGAAGGCGCCCGGCUGGAACGGGUCCGACGGUGAGGGACGAAGGCCAGGGGAGCGAACCGGAUUAGAUACCCGGGUAGUCCUGGCUGUAAAGGAUGCGGGCUAGGUGUCGGGCGAGCUUCGAGCUCGCCCGGUGCCGGAGGGAAGCCGUUAAGCCCGCCGCCUGGGGAGUACGGCCGCAAGGCUG
rnacentral:rRNA from 1 species